rnacentral:rRNA from 1 species
GUGUCAGCAGCCGCGGUAAUACGUAGGGGGCAAGCGUUGUCCGGAUUUAUUGGGCGUAAAGAGCGUGUAGGCGGCCAUGCAGGUCAGCUGUGAAAACUCGAGGCUCAACCUCGAGACGUCGGUUGAAACCGUAUGGCUAGAGUCCGGAAGAGGAGAGUGGAAUUCCCGGUGUAGCGGUGAAAUGCGCAGAUAUCGGGAAGAACACCCGUGGCGAAGGCGGCUCUCUGGGACGGUACUGACGCUGAGACGCGAAAGCGUGGGGAGCGAACAGGAUUAGAAACCCUCGUAGUCC